rfam:Lactobacillus oligofermentans DSM 15707 = LMG 22743 strain DSM 15707 NODE_92, whole genome shotgun sequence.
GGAGAGUUGGCAGAGUGGUAAUGCAACGGACUCGAAAUCCGUCGAACCGGUUCAUACCGGCGCGCAGGUUCAAAUCCUGUACUCUCCU